CCUGGUGGCCAUAGCGAAGGUCCCAACACCCGAUCCCAUUCCGAACUCGGCCGUGAAAACCUUCAGCGCCCAUGGUACUGCGUCCUAAGACGCGGGAGAGUCGGUCGCUGCCAGGU
rnacentral:rRNA from 1 species